GGUGGAGCUCAGUGGUAGAGUGCUUGCCUAGCAUCUGCAAAGGCCCUGGGUUCAACCCCCAGCACC
rnacentral:tRNA from 1 species